UACGUGCCAGCAGCCGCGGUAAUACGUAGGUGGCAAGCGUUGUCCGGAUUUAUUGGGCGUAAAGCGAGCGCAGGCGGUUUUUUAAGUCUGAUGUGAAAGCCUUCGGCUCAACCGAAGAAGUGCAUCGGAAACUGGGAAACUUGAGUGCAGAAGAGGACAGUGGAACUCCAUGUGUAGCGGUGAAAUGCGUAGAUAUAUGGAAGAACACCAGUGGCGAAGGCGGCUGUCUGGUCUGUAACUGACGCUGAGGCUCGAAAGUAUGGGUAGCAAACAGGAUUAGAUACCCUGGUAGUCCAUACCGUAAACGAUGAAUGCUAAGUGUUGGAGGGUUUCCGCCCUUCAGUGCUGCAGCUAACGCAUUAAGCAUUCCGCCUGGGGAGUACGGCCGCAAGGCUGAAACUCAAAGGAAUUGACGGGGGCCCGCACAAGCGGUGGAGCAUGUGGUUUAAUUCGAAGCUACGCGAAGAACCUUACCAGGUCUUGACAUACUAUGCAAAUCUAAGAGAUUAGACGUUCCCUUCGGGGACAUGGAUACAGGUGGUGCAUGGUUGUCGUCAGCUCGUGUCGUGAGAUGUUGGGUUAAGUCCCGCAACGAGCGCAACCCUUAUUAUCAGUUGCCAGCAUUAAGUUGGGCACUCUGGUGAGACUGCCGGUGACAAACCGGAGGAAGGUGGGGAUGACGUCAAAUCAUCAUGCCCCUUAUGACCUGGGCUACACACGUGCUACAAUGGAUGGUACAACGAGUUGCGAACUCGCGAGAGUAAGCUAAUCUCUUAAAGCCAUUCUCAGUUCGGAUUGUAGGCUGCAACUCGCCUACAUGAAGUCGGAAUCGCUAGUAAUCGCGGAUCAGCAUGCCGCGGUGAAUACGUUCCCGGGCCUUGUACACACCGCCCGUCACACCAUGAGAGUUUGUAACACCCAAAGUCGGUGGGGU
rnacentral:rRNA from 2 species